ACUCCUACGGGAGGCAGCAGUGGGGAAUAUUGCACAAUGGGCGCAAGCCUGAUGCAGCCAUGCCGCGUGUGUGAAGAAGGCCUUCGGGUUGUAAAGCACUUUCAGUCGUGAGGAAGGUAGUGUAGUACUAAUGCAUGCUGCAUUAUUUUGACGUUAGCGACAGAAGAAGCACCGGCUAACUCCGUGCCAGCAGCCGCGGUAAUACGGAGGGUGCGAGCGUUAAUCGGAAUUACUGGGCGUAAAGCGCAUGCAGGUGGUUUGUUAAGUCAGAUGUGAAAGCCCGGGGCUCAACCUCGGAAUUGCAUUUGAAACUGGCAGACUAGAGUACUGUAGAGGGGGGUAGAAUUUCAGGUGUAGCGGUGAAAUGCGUAGAGAUCUGAAGGAAUACCGGUGGCGAAGGCGGCCCCCUGGACAGAUACUGACACUCAGAUGCGAAAGCGUGGGGAGCAAACAGGAUUAGAUACCCUGGUAGGAUAGCGU
rnacentral:rRNA from 1 species